UGCCCCGAAUUCUCGGGGCAGAGCUUCUUUACAGUCCGCUUGCGUCCCUCACAAACGCCCUGCCAUAAUAGCUCUAUUUCUUGCCUAUCACUUUGCCUCUUGCUGAAUUCUGGCUGCGCCGAGACACAAAGAACCCGAACCUCAGUAAGUCUGGACAUCAGGUGCUCCAAAGGCCACCGCUCCUGAAUGCUGCCUGGCGGCUGCCUUGACACUUCUGUCUUUCCCCGGCCCAAACUCCUGCUAGACAUUGAAAAGAAUGUGCCUAGUAAGUAUUCAGUACUGUGAAGCAUCAAUUGAUAUGGAGAAUAAAAGAAAAAAGGGCAAACUU